GCUACGGCCAUACCAACCCCUGGCUAUGCCCGAUCUCGUCUGAUCUCGGAAGCUAAGCAGGUUUGGGCCUGGUUAGUACUUGGAUGGGAGACCGCCUGGAAUACCGGGUGCUUGUAAGCU
rnacentral:rRNA from 1 species